rnacentral:rRNA from 1 species
UAGGGAAUCUUCCACAAUGGACGCAAGUCUGAUGGAGCAACGCCGCGUGAGUGAAGAAGGUUUUCGGACCGUAAAGCUCUGUUGUUGGUGAAGAAGGAUAGAGGUAGUAACUGGCCUUUAUUUGACGGUAAUCAACCAGAAAGUCACGGCUAACUACGUGCCAGCAGCCGCGGUAAUACGUAGGUGGCAAGCGUUGUCCGGAUUUAUUGGGCGUAAAGCGAGCGCAGGCGGAAGAAUAAGUCUGAUGUGAAAGCCCUCGGCUUAACCGAGGAAUUGCAUCGGAAACUGUUUUUCUUGAGUGCAGAAGAGGAGAGUAGAACUCCAUGUGUAGCGGUGGAAUGCGUAGAUAUAUGGAAGAAUACCAGUGGCGAAGGCGGCUCUCUGGUCUGCAACUGACGCUGAGGCUCGAAAGCAUGGGUAGCGAACAGGGUUUAGAUACCCUUGGUAGUCCAUGCCGUAAACGAUGAGUGCUAAGUGUUGGGAGGCUUCCGCCUCUCAGUGCUGCAGCUAACGCAUUAAGCACUCCGCCUGGGGAGUACGACCGCAAGGUUGAAAC